UGCCUCCUGGCCCAGUUGGUUAAGGCACACGACUGUUACAUCUUUCGGACAUCGUGGGAUCGUGAGUUCAAGUCUCACGGAGGCAG